UACGUAGGGGGCAAGCGUUGUCCGGAUUUAUUGGGCGUAAAGAGCGUGUAGGCGGCUUCACAGGUCUGCUGUGAAAACUCGAGGCUCAACCUCGAGCUGUCGGUGGAAACCGUGGGGCUAGAGUCCGGAAGAGGAGAGUGGAAUUCCCGGUGUAGCGGUGAAAUGCGCAGAUAUCGGGAAGAACACCCGUGGCGAAGGCGGGUCUCUGGGACGGUACUGACGCUGAGACGCGAAAGCGUGGGGAGCAAACAGG
rnacentral:rRNA from 1 species